rnacentral:rRNA from 1 species
CCAGCUCCAAUAGCGUAUAUUAAAGUUGUUGCAGUUAAAUAGCUCGUAGUUGAAUUUUGGGCCGGGUUUCGUGGUCGUGCCUCACGGUAUUGCACUUCGGGCCUGGUCUUUCCUUCUGGGGAACAGAUGUGCGCGAAAGCGUGUGUUUGGGAUCCAGGACUUUUACUUUGAAAAAAUUAGAGUGUUCAAAGCAGGCAUUAUUGCUCGAAUACAUUAGCAUGGAAUAAUAGAAUAGGACUUUGGUUCUAUUUUGUUGGUUUCUAGGACCGAAGUAAUGAUUAAUAGGGAUGGUUGGGGGCAUUAGUAUUUAAUUGUCAGAGGUGAAAUUCUUGGAUUUAUUAAAGACUCGCUGCUGCGAAAGCGUUUGCCAAGGACGUUUUCA